GUAGGGAAUAUUGGGCAAUGGUCGGAAGACUGACCCAGCCAUGCCGCGUGCAGGAAGACGGCCCUCUGGGUUGUAAACUGCUUUUAUCUGGGAAGAAAAAGGCCAUGCGUGGCAAAUUGCCGGUACCAGAUGAAUAAGCACCGGCUAACUCCGUGCCAGCAGCCGCGGUAAUACGGAGGGUGCGAGCGUUGUCCGGAUUUAUUGGGUUUAAAGGGUGCGUAGGCGGCUGAUUAAGUCAGCGGUGAAAGACUUCGGCUUAACCGGAGCAGUGCCGUUGAUACUGGUUGGCUUGAGUGUCGGAGGGGUACAUGGAAUUGAUGGUGUAGCGGUGAAAUGCAUAGAUACCAUCAGGAACACCGAUAGCGAAGGCAUUGUACUGGCCGACAACUGACGCUGAUGCACGAAAGUGUGGGGAUCGAACAGGAUUAGAAACCCUGGUAGUCA
rnacentral:rRNA from 1 species